rnacentral:lncRNA from 1 species
GGCUGGAGGAGCGCAUUAAAUCCACACAUUAUAGACCUAACUGAGAAGCAGGGGUGCCAGGAAGCAUAAUUAUUCAGAAGAGAAGUCCCACAGCCCCCGACCUCAGGAUUCCCUGCACAUUCAGUCAGACACUCGGCCUUCUUCCUACCAAUCAUUGCCAGUGAUCCUCCUGGCAGACACAGCCUCCAUCCUACAUUAAACCCCACACCUGGAGACACACCCUCCACCCCACAUUAACUCCCACACCUGGAGACACACCCUCCAUCCUGCAUUCAAUCCCAAACCAGGAGACACACCCUCCAUCCUACAUUAAACCCCACACCUGGAGACAUACCCUCCACCCCACAUUAAAUCCCACACCAGGAAGCACGCCCUCUAACUUGCAUUAAACCCCACACCAGGAGACACACUCUCUAUCCUUCAUUCAACCCCGUAACAGGAGACAUACCCUCCAUCCUGCAUUAAAUGCCA